UACAGAGGUCCCAAGCGUUGUUCGGAUUCAUUGGGCGUAAAGGGUGCGUAGGUGGCGAGGCAAGUCUGGUGUGAAAUCCCGGGGCUCAACCCCGGAACUGCACUGGAUACUGCUUUGCUAGAGUACUGGAGAGGGAACUGGAAUUUACGGUGUAGCAGUGAAAUGCGUAGAUAUCGUAAGGAAGACCAGUGGCGAAGGCGAGUUCCUGGACAGUUUACUGACACUGAGGUGCGAAAAGGCGUGGGGGAGCAAACAGG
rnacentral:rRNA from 1 species